GUCUCCACCCGAGACUCAGUGAAAUUGAAAUCGCUGUGAAGAUGCAGUGUACCCGCGGCUAGACGGAAAGACCCCGUGAACCUUUACUACAGCUUGGCACUGAACAUUGAGCCUACAUGUGUAGGAUAGGUGGGAGCCUUUGAAGCGAGUACGCCAGUAUUCGUGGAGGCAAUCUUGAAAUACCACCCUUGUAUGUUUGAUGUUCUAACUUGGUUCCCUAAUCGGGAAUGAGGACAGUGCCUGGUGGGUAGUUUGACUGGGGCGGUCUCCUCCCAAAGAGUAACGGAGGAGCACGAAGGUGGGCUAAUCACGGUUGGACAUCGUGAGGUUAGUGCAAUGGCAUAAGCCCGCUUGACUGCGAGAAUGACAAUUCGAGCAGGUGCGAAAGCAGGUCAUAGUGAUCCGGUGGUUCUGAAUGGAAGGGCCAUCGCUCAACGGAUAAAAGGUACUCCGGGGAUAACAGGCUGAUACCGCCCAAGAGUUCAUAUCGACGGCGGUGUUUGGCACCUCGAUGUCGGCUCAUCACAUCCUGGGGCUGAAGUCGGUCCCAAGGGUAUGGCUGUUCGCCAUUUAAAGUGGUACGCGAGCUGGGUUUAGAACGUCGUGAGACAGUUCGGUCCCUAUCUGCCGUGGGCGUUGGAAGAUUGAAGGGGGCUGCUCCUAGUACGAGAGGACCGGAGUGGACGAACCUCUGGUGUUCGGGUUGUGUCGCCAGACGCAUUGCCCGGUAGCUAAGUUCGGAAUCGAUAACCGCUGAAAGCAUCUAAGCGGGAAGCGAGCCCUGAGAUGAGUCUUCCCUGGCGCUUUAAGCGUCCUAAAGGGUUGUUCGAGACUAGAACGUUGAUAGGCAGGGUGUGUAAGCGUUGUGAGGCGUUGAGCUAACCUGUACUAAUUGCCCGUGAGGCUUAACCAUACAACACCCAAAGGGUUUUG
rnacentral:rRNA from 1 species